rnacentral:rRNA from 1 species
AGAAUCAACGCUGGCGGCGUGCCUAACACAUGCAAGUCGAACGCGAAAGUCCCGAAAGGGAUUAGUAGAGUGGCAAACGGGUGAGUAACGCGUGGGUGACCUGCCUUCGAGUGGGGGAUAACGUUCCGAAAGGGACGCUAAUACCGCAUAACAUCCUGUCUUUUAAGAGAUGGCGAUCAAAGCCUGGGACCGCAAGGCCAGGCGCCUGAAGAGGGGCCCGCGUCUGAUUAGCUAGUUGGUGGGGUAAUGGCUCACCAAGGCAACGAUCAGUA